CCAUAUGUAUGUUAGAAAUGCCUUCAGUUAUGGCAAGACUGCUCCCACAAUAUCUGGAAAAGUUUACUAAACUUUCGCCAACGACUCAAGUUGCCAUACCACUGCUAGGAUUUCCCUCUGAUACUCUCAAUACACUGUAGCUCUUGCUGAUAAUGUCAU